rnacentral:rRNA from 1 species
UGCCGCCUACGGGACGCAGCAGUGGGGAAUAUUGGACAAUGGGGGGAACCCUGAUCCAGCGACGCCGCGCGAGUGAAGAAGUAUUUCGGUAUGUAAAGCUCUAUCAGCAGGGAAGAAAGAAAUGACGGUACCUGACUAAGAAGCCCCGGCUAACUACGUGCCAGCAGCCGCGGUAAUACGUAGGGGGCAAGCGUUAUCCGGAUUUACUGGGUGUAAAGGGAGCGUAGACGGCGAUGCAAGUCUGAAGUGAAAGGCGGGGGCCCAACCCCCGGACUGCUUUGGAAACUGUAUGGCUGGGGGGCAGG